GGGAGAGCGGAGUAUCCGGGCGGACGUUACCCACAGCGGUGAAAGAUACACAUUCUCAUACCGCUGUCACAUCAACCCCGUUUGGACAGUCUCUUGACUGCGAGGUGACACUGACAUUGGUCUCUCAAAAUGACGAAGCUCCUGUUACAAGCCAGGAUGACCAAACAACACAAAGUGAAGAUGACGAUUUGGACAGCACCCAAAUGGCACCUGUGGGAAGUGGCUCAGACACCGAGAGACAGAAAGAUGCUCCAAGCAAGAUAACCAUGAACAAUAUACUUGAAAAACAAUAUCAAAUAUUAACACUGGAAGAGACUAAACUAAAAUUAGAAAUACAAAAACUAGAAUUAGAGAAAACUAAGCUAAAGUUGGAGCUACAAAAACUUGGACAUGAACUAUAGAUCUCAUCGAACAUUGUCCAAUAACUAAUCAAACAAUUGUCUAUUUAAUAAGUACUGGUAUUUAAUUUUGAAUUUACAUAUGUAAUGUUUACAUACAGAAUCUUUAGAGAUAUUUAAGAGAUUUGAAGAAUUUUAGUGUAAGUUAAUGUGUAGUGAUUUGAAGAUUAUAUCAUAUUUCAGCUGAUUGUACUGAUACUAUGCAUCAAAUAUUUUGUAAGUAUUGUCUCAAUUAAUAAAUUAUAAUAUGUCCACUUAAUUUAAAAGUAUAAAUUCUUUCAUUGUUCUCAGUCAAACUGAGAAAAUGUUUUCUACAAUCAUCUGUCGAAUGUAACGCCCAGAUCCAUCUUCCCCUCCUGCCUCAGUAAUCUCCAAAGUGGGUUCUUCACAAAUUUGGUCAUGCUCCAAGUCUGGGAGUGCAAGAUCUCUAUUAAAUGGAAAAUGAUAUUUUACU